AAAGGAAAUAAAAUCCUUGAAUGACUCUCUCACCCAAGAAAAGAAAGCUGGAGAAGAAAAAUUAAAGGAAAUUCAGCAGUUGAAGGAUGCGCAUACAAAAACAGAGGAAAAACUCCAAAAGAAACUUGUGGAGGCGAAUAAUGAAAAGGA